rnacentral:tRNA from 1 species
GCGGUUGUAGCUCAGUUGGUUAGAGCGCAGGUUUGUGGCACCUGAGGUCGGUCUCUUCCAGUAAGUCUAAUAGUCACA